CCGUAUUAUAGUGGGUUCUUUCAUAUUUCUUUAUGCAUUUGUUAAAGAAGUGGGUUUUAAUUAUUUGCAGUAACACCUUUCUUAUUCUAAAAUUUUUAGAUGAUUGCACUCUGAAGAUGAAUUUUAGUUCACCAUCAAGAUACUCGUAUAAUGAACGUGGAGAAAAAUUGACGAUACCAUAAGUGUUCCUCUGCUUGACAAAUUCCUGCAAAAUUCCAUCACACCUUUGCGUGGACCUAUUUGGGUCUCUAAGAGAGAAGGUUUCAGCCCCUCAGGAGCAAAGAUGUAUAUCCAAGGAGUUCUGUUGGCCUUGCAUCAGCGAUUAAAGCCUGCAAACUGUUGCAAACAGAUCCAUAGAAGUAAUACUGAAUUUUUAAGAAGUACGAUUACCUGCAAUUACCACAACAAAGCGAAAAGACAGACUAUAUUUCAUCUGUUGUCUUACACUGUUCUUUCAAAACUACUGUCUCAAAUACUGGAGGUUGAAUACAUCUAUGAUACACCAACAAAAACUUUUCUUCAAAAAAAUUUUUAAUAUUUUGUUAUAAACCUAUCUGUCAU
rnacentral:lncRNA from 1 species